rnacentral:rRNA from 1 species
UAAUGCCGNAUGCUCCAACUCCUCCCAUGGGGUGUCGGGAAAGAUUUCAUCGGUAUGGGAUGGGGUCGCGUCCUAUCANGUAGUCGGCGNGGUAACGGCCCNCCGAGCCUANGACGGGUAGCCGGCCUGAGAGGGCGACCGGCCACNUUGGGACUGANAUACGGCCCAGACUCCUACGGGAGGCAGCANUGGGGAAUAUUGCACAAUGGGCGCAAGCCUGAUGCAGCGACGCCGCGUGCGGUAUGACGGCCUUCGGGUUGUAAACCGCUUUUGAUCGGAAGCAAGCCUUCGGGUGAGUGUACCUUUCGAAUAAGCACCGGCUAACUACGUGCCAGCAGCCGCGGUAAUACGUAGGGUGCAAGCGUUAUCCGGAAUUAUUGGGCGUAAAGGGCUCGUAGGCGGUUCGUCGCGUCCGGUGUGAAAGUCCAUCGCUUAACGGUGGAUCUGCGCCGGGUACGGGCGGGCUGGAGUGCGGUAGGGGAGACUGGAAUUCCCGGUGUAACGGUGGAAUGUGUAGAUAUCGGGAAGAACACCAAUGGCGAAGGCAGGUCUYUGGGCCGUUACUGACGCUGAGGAGCGAAAGCGUGGGGAGCGAACAGGAUUAGAUACCCUGGUAGUCCACGCCGUAAACGGUGGAUGCUGGAUGUGGGGCCCGUUCCACGGGUUCCGUGUCGGAGCUAACGCGUUAAGCAUCCCGCCUGGGGAGUACGGCCGCAAGGCUAAAACUCAAAGAAAUUGACGGGGGCCCGCACAAGCGGCGGAGCAUGCGGAUUAAUUCGAUGCAACGCGAAGAACCUUACCUGGGCUUGACAUGUUCCCGACAGCCGUAGAGAUAUGGCCUCCCUUCGGGGCGGGUUCACAGGUGGUGCAUGGUCGUCGUCAGCUCGUGUCGUGAGAUGUUGGGUUAAKUCCCGCAACGAGCGCAACCCUCGCCCUGUGUUGCCAGCACGUCAUGGUGGGAACUCACGGGGGACCGCCGGGGUCAACUCGGAGGAAGGUGGGGAUGACGUCAGAUCAUCAUGCCCCUUACGUCCAGGGCUUCACGCAUGCUACAAUGGCCGGUACAACGGGAUGCGACACGGCGACGUGGAGCGGAUCCCUGAAAACCGGUCUCAGUUCGGAUUGGAGUCUGC